GACGAACGCUGGCGGCGUGCUUAACACAUGCAAGUCGAACGGAAAGGCCCUGCUUUUGUGGGGUGCUCGAGUGGCGAACGGGUGAGUAACACGUGAGUAACCUGCCCUUGACUUUGGGAUAACUUCAGGAAACUGGGGCUAAUACCGGCUAGGAGCUCCUGCUGCAUGGUGGGGGUUGGAAAGUUUCGGCGGUUGGGGAUGGACUCGCGGCUUAUCAGCUUGUUGGUGGGGUAGUGGCUUACCAAGGCUUUGACGGGUAGCCGGCCUGAGAGGGUGACCGGCCACAUUGGGACUGAGAUACGGCCCAGACUCCUACGGGAGGCAGCAGUGGGGAAUAUUGCACAAUGGGCGGAAGCCUGAUGCAGCAACGCCGCGUGCGGGAUGACGGCCUUCGGGUUGUAAACCGCUUUCGCCUGUGACGAAGCGUGAGUGACGGUAAUGGGUAAAGAAGCACCGGCUAACUACGUG
rnacentral:rRNA from 1 species